rnacentral:rRNA from 1 species
GAUGAGCGCUGGCGGCGUGCCUAAUACAUGCAAGUCGAGCGAACGGACGAGAAGCUUGCUUCUCUGAUGUUAGCGGCGGACGGGUGAGUAACACGUGGAUAACCUACCUAUAAGACUGGGAUAACUUCGGGAAACCGGAGCUAAUACCGGAUGAUAUUUUGAACCGCAUGGUUCAAAAGUGAAAGACGGUCUUGCUGUCACUUAUAGAUGGAUCCGCGCUGCAUUAGCUAGUUGGUAAGGUAACGGCUUACCAAGGCAACGAUGCAUAGCCGACCUGAGAGGGUGAUCGGCCACACUGGAACUGAGACACGGUCCAGACUCCUACGGGAGGCAGCAGUAGGGAAUCUUCCGCAAUGGGCGAAAGCCUGACGGAGCAACGCCGCGUGAGUGAUGAAGGUCUUCGGAUCGUAAAGCUCUGUUAUUAGGGAAGAACAUAUGUGUAAGUAACUGUGCACAUCUUGACGGUACCUAAUCAGAAAGCCACGGCUAACUACGUG